CAAUCUCUUACCAGACACAGCGAGACAGAGAGAGAGAGGUACUCGAAUUGGUGAAAUUGGCUGGGUGUGAUCACAGCAAUGGACCAUGCUGAGCUCACCACUGAGCAGGUCUUGAAAAGAGACAUCCCAUGGGAGCAAUACAUGACUACCAAGCUCAUCACUGGCACCUGUCUUCAGCUGUUAGGCCGUUAUGAUAAAAGAUCCGAGACUUACAGAUCACAGCUGCUUGAUGAUGAUGGCCCUGCUCAUGUUCAAGUGUUUGUUGGCAUUUUGCGUGAUAUUUUCAAGGAAGAGACUGUAUAAUACGUUCUUGCUUUAGUUGAUGAGCUGCUUACAGCCAACCCAAAAAGAGCAAGACUGUUCCAUGAUACUUCUCUUGUCGAUAAAGAUGUUUAUGAGCCUUUCUUGAGAUUGCUUUGGAAGGGUCAUUGGUUCAUACAAGAGAAGAGCUGCAAGAUUCUUGGUUUAAUAGUGAGUGCAAGGACAAAACCCCAAGGAACUGUCGCAAAUGGAGAAGCCUCAAAUUCAAAAAACACCAAUGUCUUACCACGACGCCAAUUCCUAUCUUGAUGACUUUGAGUUUGAUUCCAAACUACCUAAUUGAAUCGAAGAAGAACACAAUAAACAUGAUGAACCCUAAUUCAAAUCCAAUUCACCCUAAACCCUAAUUCCAAACUAGCUAUUACCUUUUUGGAAUAGGGCAAAGCGUUUUGUACUGAUUCUUGAUUAAGAAGAGCCAAUCAAUUGAGAGAAGGUGAGAGGGUUGAGAGGAGAUCGAUGUGAGACGAGAAGAGCAAAGAAAACAUCUAUAGAUGUUGAAGCAGAAGCUAUGCAAGAAACGCAAAAAAAGGGUUUUGAAAGAUAAAAUGAAGAAACUAAAAGAAAAAGGAAAUUGUAGUAGUUAAGAAAAAUAAUAUUAUAGAAGAAUAAGAAAUCAAGCUUUUAUGACGUGAAUAUAUCAUAUCAGCUGCCACGUAAGAUGGGCUUUAGGUGGUUCCCUAAAUAGUGGUUCUCCAAGCAUUUACUUUUGAAUAAGAGACAAUCGACUAGCAUAUACACCAAUACUUGAUACAUAUUUUUUUUUAUUUACCCAUUUAGAUUCUGACACAUGGCCUUUUUUUUUUUACAAAUUUGACAGCACAUUUGUAUUCAUCUAAUUAGUAAUUUCGUUCAAAACAUGUAAAUUUGGUCUAGACCUCAUAAUUACUACAUAUGGACGUUUACUACAAAAAUUUCAACCAAAUGUCAUUAUGUUUGUAAAAACGUUAUGAAAGAUGUAAUUAUUUUCUCAAUACAAAAUACACCACUCAAUUGCAAAAUCGAGAACAAUAUUACGUGAAUGAGGACAAAUGAUCUAUUUGGUCUAAAUAUGAAAAUUUAUCAUCUCGACAACACAUUCAUCCUCAAAUUUGUAAAAUUGGUCAAAUGUCCUAAUGCUUGUAAAAGCAUUGUGAAAUGUGUAAUUAUUUUCUCAAUACAAAAAACAUCACCUAAUUACAAAACUAAUAACUAUAUUACGUGAAUGAGAACAAAUGAUCUAUUUGGUCUAAAUAUGAAAUUUUAUCAUCUCGACAAUACAUUCAUCCUCAAUUUUAUAAAAGGGGUCAGAAAUCUAUAAAUUUAGUCCAAACCUCGUAAUUACAACAUAUGAACAUUUAUUACUAAAGUUUUAAUCAAAUGUC
rnacentral:lncRNA from 1 species